rnacentral:lncRNA from 1 species
AAUAUAGUAAUUCUAUUAUGGUGGUCAUAGAGAAUUUUUAAUUUGAUGCCAAAUUUACAAAUACAUAAGUUAUUAGUAGAUUGCUUAGCAGAACAUAUCAGUAUGAGUGAAUCUAGUAAUUAAACACACAAUUCAUGUUAAAGCAAGAGUAAAACAUUGUUCUUCAAUGACCAUUUCUUGUCAGAAUUGCAAAUCAUCAUAACAUAUAUCAAGAAAGAUAACUCUUUGUCAAGUUUGAUGUUAUUAUGAACAAGCCAAUGCAAUCAUAUAUAUCUUAUACAUGUAAUAAAGUCCCACCAUAGGUAACAGUAUAAAUAAAAUCUUCACCAUGAUUUAAAAAAUACAUGUAUGCACACAUAACUUAUUUGACAUUGGUACAAACACCUUAGCUAGGUUGCAUAAAGUUUCGAACUUGUAAUUUUGUAAAUAA